ACGGGUGAGUAAUACAUCGGAACGUGCCCUGUAGUGGGGGAUAACUAGUCGAAAGAUUAGCUAAUACCGCAUACGACCUGAGGGUGAAAGUGGGGGACCGCAAGGCCUCAUGCUAUAGGAGCGGCCGAUGUCUGAUUAGCUAGUUGGUGGGGUAAAGGCCCACCAAGGCGACGAUCAGUAGCUGGUCUGAGAGGACGAUCAGCCACACUGGGACUGAGACACGGCCCAGACUCCUACGGGAGGCAGCAGUGGGGAAUUUUGGACAAUGGGGGCAACCCUGAUCCAGCAAUGCCGCGUGUGUGAAGAAGGCCUUCGGGCUGUAAAGCACUUUUGUCCGGAAAGAAAUCGCACUUACUAAUAUUAGGUGUGGAUGACGGUACCGGAAGAAUAAGGACCGGCUAACUACGUGCCAGCAGCCGCGGUAAUACGUAGGGUCCAAGCGUUAAUCGGAAUUACUGGGCGUAAAGCGUGCGCAGGCGGUUGUGCAAGACCGAUGUGAAAUCCCCGGGCUUAACCUGGGAAUUGCAUUGGUGACUGCACGGCUAGAGUGUGUCAGAGGGGGGUAGAAUUCC
rnacentral:rRNA from 1 species